AACGUUGCAAAUUCAUCUCGAACUUUAACCGUGGCACAUCUUGAGAAUCUAUACACCUAGGUGUUUUUUCAGGUCUCUCGGCGACGCUAUUCCACAUUACCCAUAAAGUUUGGCAAGUAACAAGAGUAAAGAUGUUCGCGAUUCGCAAGAGCUUGAUAAGCACAUCCCGUUUGACGGGCGAUAUUGCUAGGACGUAUCACAGUACGAUCCUCAGCACGCCGCCGAGGGUGAAGAUGUCCACUACUGAAAAGAUAGUUUCGCUCUUGUGUAUCGCUUCAGCAAUACUGGUAUCACCCAUGUACAUGGUGCCUAAUUUUAAGAACUAUGCCAAAAAUAAGUCUGGUUAAAGAAACUAGAUUGAUGAAGUUUCAAAUGUAUUAUCUUAGUUUGAAAAUUAAUGGUAUCAAAGUUAUUAUUUAUGAUAUACAUCCAGCGGCACACAUUUAUGGAUCCAUUGGAGGUAUCUAGAUUGUUAAUAAAUAUGUAAAAAUAAAAAUUUGUUCAUUUAUCAUUCCAA